rnacentral:hammerhead_ribozyme from 1 species
AUCCAGUUGACGAGUUCAAAACAGGACGAAACGAAUCUUGUAU